rnacentral:rRNA from 1 species
UACGUAGGGGGCAAGCGUUGUCCGGAAUUAUUGGGCGUAAAGAGCGCGUAGGCGGUCCGAUAAGUCGGCUGUGAAAGUCAGGGGCUCAACCCUUGAAAGCCGGCCGAUACUGUCGGACUAGAGUCCGGAAGAGGCAAGUGGAAUUCCCGGUGUAGCGGUGAAAUGCGCAGAUAUCGGGAGGAACACCAAUGGCGAAGGCAGCUUGCUGGGACGGUACUGACGCUGAGGCGCGAAAGCUAGGGGAGCAAACGGG